ACCGGGCAGGAGACCACUGGUUUUGAAGCCUCUUUUUCUCUUGCUCAACCUUGGAAAGAGCUGGGUUCCAAUGGGACCAUCCAACUCACCAGCAGGAUUGUGGUAAGCACUAAAUGAAUACUUCUAAAGCCCUAAAGCCCUGGACAGAGGCCUGGCAUAUUGUGACGACAUGAUGAUGUCCACUCUCAGCUGGAAAUAGAAAUGGCAGGCUUGCUGUGGUUGAAGUGGGGUGGGGGGUCUGGACCCACCCACGAAGACCUCCCCUUCACAUGAGGCCCAGCUGCACUUUGGCAUGGACCCAGCUACCAGCUAUGCUUGUCAUCCUGUGGCUGCCCUCAGCUACUCCUGUGCAGAAGUCAGUGAGUGUGCACCUAUAUCAUGGCUACGAGACACUCAGUGUGAAACUGCACAUGCUCACGGCAUCUGAAGCAGUGGAUUUGCUUGGGUGGCAGCACCCAUGUUUGUACAACCCCGUGUUUCUUAGAUGAAAAUGGAGCAAUCCUCCUGCACGUGUGUGCUCCCGUCUAAGGGUAUAGGAUUCAGCACUGAGAGUCAUACUUUCCACUGGAAUUGCUUUGCUGGACUCUGGUGACCUUUGAUUAAUGUCCACUUGACCCUUGAAGGACACAAGUUUGAGCCGCACCACUCACUUACAUGUGGGUUUUCUUCCACCUCUGCCACCCCUCCUCCUCCUCCUCUUAUGAUUUUCUAAAUGACAUUGUCUUAGUAUACAACACAUGUAACAUACAAAAUACAUAUUAGUCAACUGUUUAUGUUAUCAGUAAGGCUUCUGGUCAACAGUGGGCUAUGAAUAGUUGUGUUUUUGGGGAAUCAAAAGUUAUACGUGGAUUUUCAACAGCCCGGGGGGUGGAGUUGGUACCCUUAAGGUCAAAUAUAUUAGUCAAUUAACAUGCAUUGAUUAGGCCUACUUUACAGUCAAAACUAGACUGGCCAUUACCAGGACUGCUCUUCUGUUUUAGACACAAUCCCGCCCUCUGGGAGAUUAAAAUGUAAGUGGAAAGAGACAUGUGUCAUGUUCAGAAAUGGUUGAAUUCAGAGUGUGUCUGUCACAAAAAAACAUGCAUGUUGGAGUCAUUGACGAGCUGAGUUUGAGUUUCCAGUUCUUUAUUUGUACACUCUUGUGUCUCUGAGUGUUUGCAGGGAUUGAAUAAAGCUGUGCUACAAACUGUACAGCACAAGGGAUACUCGAAUGUCGUAAAUCAUUUCAAUGAAAAUCAGUCUUUCUCUGUUAAUUCAUUAGGCAAAAAUGGUCGGGUAUGUUUUCAUCAAAUGUAUUGAGGAACUUUCCUAGACGUCCCAUCUAGCAACCUCUAUUCGUAUCUGAUUGACACCCCCGAGUUGCAGGAGAGGCUGAGAAAUGUGUUGCUGCCCUGAAAGAAACUGAGGUCCUGUAACUACAAAGGAGAAGUAAACAUGGUUCCCUUCUGACAACAGCAAGGGCUUCUAAUGUGAAUGAGGCUCAGGGGAAUCUGCUAGCUAUCUCUGGCUUCCCUGGCACCAUGCAAAGACAUGCUCCUGUAGAAGAGAAUAUUGAAAGCCAUCCAGACCCCAGCUGUAGCAGCACUGGAAGCCAGAAUGGUUUUCUCAUGGAGAAUUCCUGAAGGACCUCCUAUUGAGCUCACCUGAGUGACAUGGAAGGAUGACAUGUGGGACAAUCGGAGUGAACCUGGGGUGGUGAGAACACUGCAGGCAUCCAGUGGAUUCCUUUAAAGCAGGUUGCUCAACUGUGGUCCUGUUGACGUUUCGGCUGGGUGAUUCUCCACUGUGGGGCCUAACCUGGAUGUUGUAGGAUGGUUGGGGGCAUCUCUGGCCCCCAACCACCACGUGCCAGGAACAUCCAGUGCUCAUCCCCAAUGUCUCCAGACACUGCCCAGGGUCCGAGUGCCAUCACUUUCAACUGAGAAUCACUGCUUAGAGGGAAGCAAUUUGUGGAUGAGAAGCAUGCAGGCUGUGACUCACAAUUUCAAACCAAUGAAGUUCAACCUCAGACUGUUGCAAAAAAAAGUACUCCGCACUCACCAACAGUCAACAUAAUUUCAUUCAGCCAAAUCUUGUGUAUUUGCUAGUAAACUGUGCACCGAGUGAAUUAUUUGCAGCAUUAUUUAAGACCCUGAAUUAACAUUAUCUAACAUGUUUGGAAGCAGGGCAGCCCUCAAAUCUCUGGUUAAUGUGAUUUCAGGAAAACAUAAAUAGGUUCAUAGUGUUUUACAGACCAGAGUGGGUCAAAAUUGAGGAAGAAAAUCUGCUACCAGAAAUCUAUGCAAUUAAGGAAGCUACCUGUGACUGACUGCAGAAAAGCUCUCACGACGUGGGACAGGGAACAUAUGAGCUGGAAGCAAACCUAGGGAAAACAGAUUCUGGAUUUCUCAUGUGUGUGGGGCUGAGCAGGAGGGAGACUUGGGCUUGUAGGGAGCCAGGAGCUCUGGAGAGGGGAUGGAGGCAGAAAGAGCAACCCUCGGAUGUGGAAUUUGGGUGGGCUGUGGCUGUGAGUGAGCAGGUGGAGCCUGGAACAGAGGUUCCUGUAACCAGUCUCCCUUGCAAGAGAGCUGGGUUUGUCGGGGGAAACCAAGGUCUAUUUCCCUUCAUCUACCUCUCCCACGCCAGGAAGCAGAGCAAAAUCACACAUGUAACCCUGCAACUAGACCCCCGGGCUGUGUCUUACCCAUUUUUCAUCCUCUGUACCUAGCACGGUGCCUGGCACAGAGGAGGCACUCAAGGGGCACUGGACUGAACCCAGUGGCUUCAGAACAGCUCCCAGGAGAAGCUGGAGUGACUCCAUUCAAAGGGCACUGGAAAGAUGCCUGGAGUCCUUUUCUACCCAGGCACAAGCCUUUUCUUUAUUGCCCAACUCUGAUGCCUGAGGUAAAGCAAUAGCAUGACUGAAUGUCUUUCACAUUAGAGUGUAAUUUAUCCACAUCAGCCGCAGCCUUUGAUCUCACCAAGCUGAGAGAGGAGAGAAGUGAUGAGGCGUACAAUGUGUACGAGGUGAGUGAGGUGUAUGUGGGCUGCAGCAGCUGAAGGGAGGGAAGGGCCAGGAGGCUGCGGGUGUAGAUAGAACGUUCCCGUUGGGACUUGGAGGCCCUUGGCCAGCACAUACAACCCAGGAGGAGAGAUCUGAGACUUGGUCUUGCCAUGGUGGGCCAUGUUUUAGUAUUGUCUGCGUUAUCUGCUGGGGAUAACAGAGCUUCCUACAGGCUCCUUGAGAAGUGCUUGUGAACCUCUCUAUAGUCGAGGCUUGUGGGCCGUCUUGUUAUGCCCUAAGCCUGGAUCCGCUUGCAGGUUGCUCUCAGAUGAACCUGAGUGAUGGCCUGUCUUUUGUGGGUCUGCUUUUCGGGACAUGAAGGCCAAGAAAUGAUUGUUCUGGACUGCAUUUGUUUUGUUCGAUGAACACAGACUUGGACCUUGUUUUUCUUGACUGUCACUGUCUCAAAGGUUUUAAUCAAAGGCUAUUUGGAAAUCAUGCCAGCUAAUUAAUGUUGAUGAGGCAACAAGGGUGACUCUUCCUUAGUGCCUUAAACCUUUCACCUGAAACACAAACAUGCCACAUUGGAGCUUUAAUUGUCAAGGAAGAUGAAAAGUAUACCAAACCAUUUGCUGGGCAAAGGCCUCCUGUUGAUAUAGGCAGCAGGAACCCACAGGCUUGUGCAAUGCAGGCUUGUAGCUGCAGAUCCAUUUCUCCCCAAGCACGCUGCCCCAUUGAAAGUGGGUAAGUGAUGCGUCUGAUCUCUAGCAAGCUCCACCGGGAGAGCACUGAAAUCUUAGCCAAGUAGCCCUGUCUCUCCGUUGUUUUCAUGGAAAGCCCUACUAAAAAUCAGACUGCACAGAGUUCCUCUCUUGAAUCAAAACUUGCAAGAGAAAGAUGAAAUAAGAUUCAAACGUGUGUUGUUUCCUACACUUGGGUACUUAUUUGUUUGUGGAUUUAUAAAGGGCCCCUCUUUCAUUUAGCCAGUGACAUUUAUUUAGAAGCUAACAUGUGCCAGAGACUGCAGAUAAAAAGAUGUGAAUCCUGCAAAAAAGGGGCAUGCAGUCCAGGAUUAGAAACAAAUAGCAGAUGAUCACAAAACAGCAUUACAAGUGCACUGUUAGUACCACUUUGUGAGGCACUUAACUCAAAGGGGUGAGGAUGAGAAGUAAGAAUUAAGGAAGAGGUUUGCUUGCGUUGAGAAAUAUUCCAAUAUAUAUGUCUUGAAAUAUGGGUCAUGGCUCAGAUCAAAACUAGCAGGUUGAUAUUAGUGUCAGCCAUAUUCAUUUGCUAAGAACCUGGAUGUGUUCGGGCGGCAGUAAGUCUACCUCUAAUCCAGUUCCUGCGCUCCGCUAACAAUGUUUUCUGUCUAAUCUUUAUAAUGCAUCUUUUUCCCUUAUCAUUUUGUGGAUGAUGAGAUUAUCCAAUGCUGAUGUUAACUAGUCUCAACAUAAGCCAUUUUCUGGUUUGGUACGUGAGUGUCUUGUUAACUAUCUGCGUUUAUGUAAUAUAAGUCAAUUGAUUUUGAGUCUUGUAGUUGGCCUAUGAGGUAAUUUAGAUAGAAGUUGAACUGAUUCAACCUGAGGCUUUCAGUGUGGCCGGGGCUCCUGAGGAAGGACAAGAGGACGAGACCAUUUAUAAUCACCCCGUGUUGGAAGAAUCCUUGUCACCAUGUCUCAGUCCCCGACGUGCUGUGUGAGGACGCAGGAGCUGUGAGGAAGUGUGGAGCCCUGGCGGGGAUGGGGGAGGCCUGCUCUGUGAGUGGCCUCGGGGGCCCUUGUCACAGGCAAACGUGCAGCCCCUGCAGGGCCCAGCAGCAGGGCCAUGGGCGAGAGUACACGGGCCCUGCCACGUCAGAGGCACCAUCCCCCGCCAGGACCGCCGUUCUGUUUUCUGAUCCUGAGUGCAACUUCACCAACAAAAGCUGCACCGCCUUUCCUUUCCAGUCAGGAGAAACGGGUGGUCCCAUCCGUGAAGAGGAGGUUGACGGGCCUGUGGGAUGUGAGGAGAGAUCAUCAUUUUAGAGAAGAAAAGGGCUGUGCGGGGGCAGAGAUGGCUGGAAAGAACCCACACCUCCCCUGCUCUGUCUGUCUCUCCCCCUCUCCAUCUUUUUCUGUUUCUGUCCCCCUUUGUCUUUUUCUUCUCUCUCUCUAUCUGUCUUUCUCUGUCUCUCUUUUCUCUCUCUGUCUCUCUCUUCUCUCUCUCCCCAUUUCACUGUCUCUGUCUACCUAGUUGUCUCUGUCACUCUCUAUCUCUCUUUCCAUCUCUCUGUCUCUUUGUUCCUAUGUCUCUGUCUUUCUCUGUUCCUCUCUCUUUCUAUCUCUGUCUCUAUCCCUCUCUGUCUCUCUGCAUCUCUAUCUCUGUCUCUGUCCCUCUCUGUCUCUUUCUAUCUCUGUCUCUGUCCCUCUCUGUCUCUUUCUAUCUCUGUCUCUGUCUCUCUGUCUCUGUCUCUCUGUGUCCCUCUCUCUGUCUCUGCCUAUCUCUGGCUCUGGGUCUCUCUCUCUGUCUCUCUGUCUCUUUCUAUCUCUGUCUCUGUCUGUCUCUCUGUCUCUGCCUGUCUCUCUGGCUCUCUCUCUCUAGCUAGGGGAUGCCAGUGGACUGGACACCUGCUGUUCCCUCUCCCAGCCCAUGGCUGAGGGUGGACCUGCCCGUUCUCUUCUGCCCUCGUGGGGAGACGCCCAGCUACUCUUCUGGUCCGUGGCUCCUGUUUUUUGGCUGCUGCCUCCAGGGUACCUGGCUGCUUCUUUCUAGGCAUGGCAAGCAAGAAGGAACCCAUUUUGCACACAUCUGCGGGGCUUUCAGUCUCCUCCUCUGAUGUACUCAAUCGGCCUUGAGAGAGAAGGGUCCCUGCAGAAAAGAAGAGACUUUGCCUGCAGCAGCCGUGGGCCAUG
rnacentral:lncRNA from 1 species